AAUAUUGCGCAAUGGAGGAAACUCUGACGCAGCGACGCCGCGUGAGCGAUGAAGGNCUNNGGAUCNUNAAGCUCCGUCCUCAGNNNNNAAGAAAGUGACGGUACCUGAGGAGGAAGCCCCGGCUAACUACGUGCCAGCAGCCGCGGUAAUACGUAGGGGGCAAGCGUUGUCCGGAAUUAUUGGGCGUAAAGGGUGCGUAGGCGGCUUUUUAAGUCAGAUGUGAAAGACCACAGCUUAACUGUGGGGUUGCAUUUGAAACUGGAGAGCUUGAGUAUCGGAGAGGGUAGUGGAAUUCCUGGAGUAGCGGUGAAAUGCGUAGAUAUCAGGAGGAACACCAGUGGCGAAGGCGACUACCUGGACGAAAACUGACGCUGAGGCACGAAAGCUAGGGGAGCAAACA
rnacentral:rRNA from 1 species